rnacentral:lncRNA from 1 species
UUUUCAGGGUUAUUAUUUAAGUUAAUCUUAUGAUUUAAGGAAAGACUCGACGAGUUGAGGGUCCAACUCGCCGAGUCGAGUCGGGUUUCUCUCGCGGGUUAUUGAGUGAACUCGACGAGUCAGAGGAGGGACUCGCCGAGUAGGAGCUGGGCAGAGGAACCCUGAUUUUCGGGGUUUGGGACCUAUUUAAAGGCACUUAUUGCCUCCUUGACCCCUCCCCAUCAGAGUCUUUUUCCCUUGAGAGAAACCCUAGAGUGAUUGGUGAUCUAUAGAAGAAAUUGGCUAAUUGGAGGUCAUUCCUUGGAAAGGAAGAGCAAGGGUUUUGCAAGGAUCUCAGAGGAGAGUUAGAGGAUCAGGUUCAUCUUCAUUGCAAGCUCCAGAUCUGGUACAAACUCUUCCCUUCUUUGUGUUUGUGUAGAUUUCCUUGGUUAAUUAAGUUAGGGCUUGAAUCACAAUUUAGACAGGGUUGUGGGUGCAUCCAAACCCUUUUUCGAGUCAUGUGUAGAUCUGGACCUUGUGAGGUCCAGGGAACCAGAAAGUAGGCAACCAUGAAAGAGUUGUUUGGGAGCUUUAAAGCUAUGGAGAUUCAAUGGAGUCCAAAUGGUGUAUUGAGCAAAAUACACCAUGCAUGAGCCUCAAGUUCAGACCUUUAUGUGACUUUUGAGUAGUAGGAGGUUAGAUCUAUGAGUUUGGGUUGCAGAUCGGACCUUGGAUGGCUGAAUGAGCAAUCUGUUGGAGCCAACUCGCCGAGUCCAUGAGAUGACUCGACGAGUCGUAGUGGGUUUGACCGAGUAGCCUUAACCCAGUGUUGGAUCACCAAUUUAGGGGUCAACUCAAUGAGCUGAGUGAGACUCGGUUAUAGUUCAGAUGAUGCGAGGGGACUCGACGAGUCGCAAGGAUGCACUCGACGAGUAGGGUCGAGUGUGGACUGUUGACUUGAGUUGACUUCUAUUGACUUUGGAGUUUUGGUCAACAUAAGUAAUAGAGACCAUGGAGGGGUAAAAUGGUCUUUUACCCACUUCCCGAUUAGAGAGGGAAAAAGUAACUGUCGGUUUAAUUAGAGUUGAUAUUUCUAGUGUUAAUUAGAGAUAUUUGCCCUAUGUGUUAGGCGGUGGCGAGUUCGAGAUUCAAGUGUGAAGAUAACUGCUUUUUGCUUGUCAGGUGAGUCUUCUCACUAUACAUUACCUAGAGUGGUAUCUAUGUGUAGACCGGAGGGUCUUGUGUGCUAUGUGUAUGUAUGAGACUAUGUGCAUUGUAAUAUAUGUAUGUUAUGUGAUUGUAUAGACCGGACCGGAGGGUCCAACGAUAUAGACCGGACCGAAGGGUCCAACGAUACAGACUGGGCCGAAGGGUCCAACGAGCUAUGACAGGACCAGAGGGUCCAACGAGCUACGUGACUGGAGGGUCCCGCUAAGACACAUCGAUCGGAGGGUCGUACUAUAGUCUAUAGUGGCGUAUGUGGUAUUUUGGGGAACUCACUAAGCUUCGUGCUUACCGUGUUAUGUGUUAUGUGUUUCAGGUUUUUCUCAGGAUCAUGGGAUGACACCGGCUUGAUUAUACACACCAGAGGAAGAGUUAUGUUUUUGAGGAUCCUGGAUUAUUAUUUAGUUGAAUAUGUAGUUAUGUUUUGUAAUUUAAACAAAAUGAUGUUUUUACAAAAAAGUGUUUUAAGAAUUAAGCGAUUUUAAAUGAAAAUUUUUAGUUUGAAAAAUUACGGUGCUACAAGUUGGUAUCAGAGCCUUGGUUUGAGGGAUUCGGAUGCACCUUCGGGUAAAUCUGGACUCAAACUGAGGAUUUAAGAAAGUUUUCAAAAGAAGUAAAUUUCUAAAAACGAGCAAGAGUUUCUAAGAGAAUAACGAGAAGGAGUAGUGUGUACAAUCAGCCAAAGCCCGAACGGUGAUUUCCCAAAAUACUCUUACUUUUGUGUUAUGAGAUAUGUUAUGAGACAUCAUGCAUGCUAGAGAUAGGCUUGGUAGUUCAUAUUUUAGGACUAGAGAAGCCUAAUCUGUGAUGCCUUAGCCUAGGAGUUGCUGUUAUAUGUGAAGCACUUUCGAGUAUUUAUUGAGUGAGAGUAUCCAACAAGAAUCCUUGUAGAGAGGGAUUUGAGUAGAGGAGUAAUCUAGGAGAGAUACCUAGAUGAGCAUUUGUGGAACCUAUCGGGAGAGUAGCUAGAUACCCGCGGGGGGUAAACUUGCAGAGUUCGGUAAUACCUUUUGAGUAUGAGUAGAGCAAGUGGAGUUAUCACCUAGAGUGGGUUAUACGUGAUCAUUCGAUGCUCGAAUGCUGCUUGCUUCCUGCUUUGUGGAAUUCCCGAUGAUGGGAGUCAGCUAUCAAGUGAAUGUGACGAUAUUUAAGAGGUAGAUGACUGGCAUCAGAAGGAGUUUCUCAGCAGCUGAUGGCAGAGAAGUGUGAGAACCUAGGAAGAGCCUAGGACGUGACCUUAGUUAGAUGAGUACGCUGACAUAGUGGAGCAAUUCGUUGGGGAGCGAGCAGCGCAUGUUGAGAUUGGUGACUGAGAAGGUUGAGCAGCUACUUAGGGAAUCUAGGAUGGUUCGUGCAGAGAGUAUGGGUAGAUGUGGCAGGUAGUAUGGGCCCGUACUACUGAAAGCAAAGGACCCAUACUGGAUGCAGGGAGGAUUCCAGAGGUUCUAAGUAGCAGAUCCAGAGGUGAUGUCACGGUUCGAGUACCAUGAUUGGUAGCAGAUCGAGAGGUGAUGUCAUGGUUCGAGUACCAUGAUUGGUAGCAGAUCGAGAGGUGAUGUCAUGGUUCGAGUACCAUGGUUGGUAACAGAUCGAGAGAUGAUGUCAUGGUUCGAGUACCAUGAUUGGUAGCAGAUCGAAAGGCGAUGUCAUGGUUCGAGUACCAUGAUUUGAGACAGAUUGAGAUGAGAGAACAUGGUUCGAGCACCAUGAUUCAUAAGCAAAUCAGGGGGUGGCCACAUGGUUCGAGUACCAUGAUAUGUGGCUGUUAGUGCUUCUAGUUUUACCGGUUAUUCCGUGGUGAGUGUCUAGACCGAUGUCAGAUGUGAAAGAGUAUGGUGCCAGAAGGCCAGGAUGAACGAAUUCUAGUGGAGCAACCCUUGAUAGGGAAAUCGAGUUAACUCCGAGAACUUGUUAAUGAUAUACCAGUAGAGUCGCAAGACUCAAGGUUGAGCAGGGAUGGUGCGUUAUGGAAGAAUAUGGUAUGGGCUGGGCAACCAGCCGAUAGUGGAGAUGUCACUUUCUGUGACCCAAGUGGUGUUAUUUCUGUUUCCUGUGGGAGACGUAAGAGGUGUUCAGAUUUCGGUUUGAGUUUGGGGGUAAGCCCCAUGGGAUUGCACUAGUAGUGAUCUUCAAUCAUAAAGUAUGGUAGUAUGUUUGCCACGAGGAAAAGAUAUAGCUUGAACAAGGCGUCAGUGGGGACUGAGUUGGUCAAGGACCAGGAUACACCCUACUUGAGUAUAGUAGGGCAUGUGUUAGCUGCAACGUCGGUCGAUCAAAAGGAGAUAUCAUAGCGGUGGCUCUUAUUAUCUUUGAUGUGUAUCGAGAGUGGUAAUCUGGGUUCUGCUCUUAUCAUAAGUGUCAUGAUGGAGCGUGGGUCGAGGAAUCGAGAAUGAGGAAGAUGAUAGUUCGCUAUUUCCAGACUAAGUGUCGGGAUUGAUAAUGGACAGUUAGACAUUCCGGUGUUGGGAUGUGUGGGAUUCUGAUUGACCAGAGGCGGUAGUGAUGGGAAGUUCUGAGGAUUUCAUAUGUGAUUCGGAGUAAUUGAUAUUGCUCGAUUUCUAUCGAGAAGGAUCAUCUAGCGUUGCAUAGCUCUUUCAAAGGGUAGGUGAAAUUUUGCUAAUGAAGACAAUCUGUGGGAUAGAUUCAUAGUACGCCAAUUGGCGAGGGUUCAAACCCUAAGUGGGGGAGAACUGGAUAUUUUCUAAGGGGAUCUGAGAUUUGUUCAAGGGCGAUCAGGGGACUAGUUAUAGUGAGCUAUGUGUCGGAUACAUAAAUUCAUGGUUAUUUGAUGAUUGGGAUGUGGUGCUAAGUGAGUUAAUGCAUGUUGCACGUGUUCAUGGAGGAAGGACUGUCUCCAUGGCAGGGACCGUGGGUUGGGGACCCUGUGGAAGUUAGAUAAGGAUAGUUAUGCGGUUGAGAAUCCCCGGUUUAGUGUAUGGGAGGCUAUGUACGCUCGGGGAAGGUAGAAAUUGAUUUUUGGCAACUAAUUCCGGGCCGUUACGAGUAUGCUUGCUUGAGUUUUGAGCAUUAUAGGAGGGAGUUCUGGAUUGUUGUCAACAUGUUCUGAGUCAUUGUCGAUCCCUCCAUUAAGAGUUGGAAUAUUCUGAAGUUGCACGUUCAGAGAAAGAAGGAUAGUUACGAGAUUCUGAGAGUAUGCAUUGAGGUAUCUGUAUAUGAUGCCAUAAGUAGGAGGUCAGUGGUUGAGACAGGACAUCGUGAUGUUCCGUGAUGGUGUUCCGAGGUAUCCGAGUAUAAUGCCCCGAAUUCAAAAUUAUUUUGGGUCUUGAGUUUGAGACGACAAGUGGAGUAGCAGGUACCUACGGUUCCAGUGGGAGCCCUUUGGGUAUUGACAUCUAGAGGGAUUAUCUAAGAGUGUGGAUUCCAGCAAGGAGGGAUGUUUGGUCUUGGUGGUUGCUGUCAGAAUCUAUGAUGCAUAAAUAGGGACAAGUGUGUGAGUACCUAUCUAUGCUAGUCCGCGGAGCAUGAGUUAGUGGAUGUAGUGUGGUGUUGACGUGAGAAGGAGAUUGUGGAUUAUGAGAGAAAGGGUGUUGUGAUGCUACGAGGAGCCGUAGUACUCACUAGUCAGAGAAAGGGUGUUGUGAUGCUACGGGGAGCCGUAGUACUCACUGGUCAGAGAAAGGGUGUUAUGAUGCUACGGGGAACCGUAGUACUCACUGGUCAGAGAAAGGGUGUUGUGAUGCUACGGGGAGCCGUAGUACUCACUGGUCAGAGAAAGGGUGUUGUGAUGCUACGGGGAGUCGUACUACUCACUAGUCAGAGAAAGGGUAUUGUGAUGCUACGGAGAGCCAUAGUACUCACUAGUCAGAGAGCGGGUGUGGUAAUGCUACACGGAGACGUAGUACUCGCUAGUUAGCAAGAGGUUCUUAUGAUGAAGUACUCUUUGAUCAGAGCAUGACGCAGAAGAGUUUAGGCUUGGGUAGCCCUAACCUAUGAGUUUUGGGAGCCUGGUGGUCGUAUCAGGGGCGAGACAGGGGCCUCCUUAACGAUCAGGAGUCGUUACAUUCUGAGUUAAGGUGUGGUUAUCGUAAUCAGAAGGAAUUUGGGAAGUGAUGUACGCAUGGGUUGCGGGUCAUGAGUCAUGAGUUGAGUGGUUCAUUGGAACGAGUGGUUCCAAUUCUAGGUCGGACAAGACACUCGAGCUGAGUUUGGCUCUAGUGGUGCAUUGAGUAGGCAAGAUGAGAUUCUGGAUUCUGAAGGGGUUCCAGGAUGAGGGGUAUUGUUUGUCAUCUGAUGUCUUAGGCCUAUGUAGGUCAGUACUCGGGUACGGGGGGUACCGCGAGCUUCAUAGAACUAUGAGAAGUAUACGUCAGAAGUUGGGGUUGAGCCGACCAUCAGUUGGGAGUGUAGUAUUCACUCGGGGGUAAGGCGAACUUCGUGACUUGUGUGUCACAAUGAGCCGGUGUAGUUAUUGUGAGAAGGGAAUUAUUAAGACAGUUAGAGUUAAUGCAAUGGAUGACCAUGGGGGUUUGACUGUUGGGCCGAGGUUAGAUCUGGUGCGCAGUGUUAAAGAGGGAUAUGGGAAUUGGAGCUGAGGCUUACGAUUGUGAUGUCUGAGAACACUUCCAAACGAGCUUGGUUAUUCCCUUGUGUCCGAGGGCAGAGUGUUAAGGAUUCUUUGUUCGGAUGGGUUCUGAUAGCGGUUUAGUGGAUAAGCCCUAGCGAGGUGUGGACCCUUCCGCUUCUUGGGGCGUGAUUCAGAUCUUUAGCAUGAUUGGUAUGAGUGAGCGGUACCUGAUUGUUGGGUUCUUGUGAAAAUUAGAGGAUCAGUGGGUUAUCGGGGUUGACAUUCGAGGAGCGAAUACCAUGGUGAUCGCUUGUGUAGGUGAUCUGGCGGCGGGUUAGGCCACUAGAGUUUCCAGAGAUUGGGAAGGAGUAUAUUAGCAGCCGGAGAGUUAGUUUAGUUUUGGACUUGGGAGUUUCUGUUUUGUUUCAGGUGUCCAUUGAGAAAGAUAUCGAUGUAGUAUGAGAUUCUGUCGGUGGUGUCUUUCGUGUUGAUGAUCUUUGUGUGGUUACAGAAUGAUAUCGAGGGUGAAAUCUAAUUCAAGUGGGGGAGAAUUGUAACAUCCGGAUUUUCAGGGUUAUUAUUUAAGUUAAUCUUAUGAUUUAAGGAAAGACUCGACGAGUUAAGGGUCAAACUCGCCGAGUCGAUUCGGGUUUCUCUCACGGGUUAUUGAGUGAACUCGACGUGUCAGAGGAGGGACUCGCCAAGUAGGCGCUAGGCAGAGGAACCCCAAUUUUCGGGGUUUGGGACCUAUUUAAAGGCACUUAUAGCCUCCUUGGCCCCUCCCCAUCAGAGUCUACGUCCCUUGAGAGAAACCCUAGGGUGAUUGGUGAUCUAGAGAAGAAAUUGGCUAAUUGGAGGUCAUUCCUUGGAAAGGAAGAGCAAGGGUCUUGCAAGGAUCUCAGAGGAGAGUUAGAGGAUCAGGUUCAUCUUCAUUGCAAGCUCCAGAUCUGGUACAAACUUUUCCCUUCUUUGUGUUUGUAUAGAUUUCCUUGGUUGAUUAAGUUAGGGCUUGAAUCACCAUUUAGAUAGGGUUGUGGGUGCAUCCAAACCCUUUUUCGAGUCAUGUGUAGAUCUGGACCUUGUGAGGUCCAGGGAACCAGAAAGUUGGCAGCCAUGAAAAAGUUGUUUGGGAGCCUUGAAGCUAUGGAGCUUCAAUGGAGUCCAAAUUGUGUAUUGAGAAAAAUACACCAUGCAUGAGCCUCAAGUUCAGACCUUUACGUGACUUUUGGGUAGUAGGAGGUUAGAUCUAUGAGUUUAGGUUGCAGAUCUGACCUCGGAUGGCUGAAUGAGCAAUCUGUUGGAGCCAACUCGCCGAGUCCAUGAGAUGACUCGACGAGUCGUAGCGGGUUUGACCGAGUAGCCUUAACCCAGUGUUGGAUCACCGAGUUAGGGGUCAACUCGACGAGCUGAGUGAGACCCGUGUAUAGUUCAGAUGAUGCAAGGGGACUCGACGAGUCGCAAGGAUGCAAUCGACGAGUAGGGUCGAGUGUGGACUGUUGACUUGAGUUGACUUUUAUUGACUUUGGAGUUUUGGUCAACAUAAGUAAUAGAGACCAUGGAGGGGUAAAAUGGUCUUUUACCCACUUCCCGAUUAGAGAGGGAAAAAGUAACUGUCGGUUUAAUUAGAGUUGAUAUUUCUAGUGUUAAUUAGAGAUAUUUGCCCUAUGUGUUAGGCGGUGGCGAGUUCGAGAUUCAAGUGUGAAGAUAACUGCUUUUUGCUUGUCAGGUGAGUCUUCUCACUAUACAUUACCUAGAGUGGUAUCUAUGUGUAGACCGGAGGGUCUUGUGUGCUAUGUGUAUGUCUAAGACUAUGUGCAUUAUGAUAUAUGUAUGCUAUGUGAUUGUGUAGACUGGACCGGAGGGUCCAACGAUAUAGACCGGACCGAAGGGUCCAACGAUACAGACUGGGCCGAAGGGUCCAACGAGCUAUGACAGGACCAGAGGGUCCAACGAGCUACGUGACUGGAGGGUCCCGCUAAGACACAUCGAUCGGAGGGUCGUACUAUAGUCUAUAGUGGCGUAUGUGGUAUUUUGGGGAACUCACUAAGCUUCGUGCUUACCGUGUUAUGUGUUAUGUGUUUCAGGUUUUUCUCAGGAUCAUGGGAUGACACCGGCUUGAUUAUACACACCAGAGGAAGAGUAAUGUUUUUGAGGAUCCUGGAUUAUUAUUUAAUUGAAUAUGUAGUUAUGUUUUGUAAUUUAAACAAAAUGAUGUUUUUA